rnacentral:rRNA from 1 species
UGCGUAGGCGGGCUUGUGCGUCAGAGGUAAAAUCCCACAGCUUAACUGUGGAACUGCCUUUGAUACGGCAAGUCUUGAGUGUGAGAGAGGGUGGUAGAAUUCUUGGUGUAGCGGUGAAAUGCGUAGAUAUCAAGAGGAAUACCGGUGGCGAAGGCGGCCAUCUGGCUCACUACUGGCGCUGAGGCACGAAAGCGUGGGGAGCGAACAGGAUUAGAUACCCUGGUAGUCC